rnacentral:rRNA from 1 species
AUUCCAGCUCCAAUAGCGUAUAUUAAUGUUGUUGCAGUUAAAAAGCUCGUAGUUGAAUUUCUGGAAUGAACUUUCGGUCCGAGGCCUUGUGUCUUGCGUACUGUUUCUGUUCAUCCCAUCUUAGUAGUGAGUGUUACUGGCAUUCGGUUGUCGGUUGCAGGAGCUGCUUCGUUUACUGUGAAUAAAAUAGAGUGUUUAAAGCAGGCAUUACGCCUUGAAUACUUCAGCAUGGAAUAAAAUUAUAGGACUUAGGUGCUAUUUUAUUGGUUUGCACUCCUAGUAAUGAUUAAUAGGGAUAGUUGGGGGUAUUCAUAUUUGAUUGUCAGAGGUGAAAUUCUUGGAUUUAUGAAAGAUGAACUUAUGCGAAAGCAUUUACCAAGGAUGUUUUCAUUA